AUCUACGGCCAUGCCACCUUGAACGUGCCUGAUCUUGUCUGAUCUCGGAAGCUAAGCAGGAUUGGGCCUGGUUAGUACUUGGAUGGGAGACCACCUAGGAAGACCAGGUGCUGUAGGUG
rnacentral:rRNA from 1 species